rfam:Ornithorhynchus anatinus chromosome 3, whole genome shotgun sequence.
AGCAGGGUGGCUCAGUGGAAAGAGCACGGGCUUGGGAGUCAGAGGUCAUGGGUUCUAAACCCAGCUCUGCCA